rnacentral:lncRNA from 13 species
AGCACGCCUAACGGGUUAUUUACCAGGGGGUUACAUCCCUGGUGAUCCCAUAGAGAGGGAGAUGCCUUCCCUGAACCACAGAAACUAACACACACACAAACCUCAUCCCCGGAGGUCCCAGAGCGAUGCCUUCCCUCCACCACGGCGCCAUCUUCCUCGGAGUCUUUCUCAUCGCGACAGGCGGCUCCACUGCCUUUCUCACCUCCUCACAGAGCCGCCUGCAGGCGUUCUCUCUGUGCUGUGUGGUGCUGGGAGCCGUCAUGCUGAUCCUGGGGCUUCUCUGGGCCAUGAGUAACAAGCACCAGGUAGAGUACAGCCAGGGAGAGUACCCCAACUUCCCCCAAUACCCCCACCAGGGAGAACACCCCAACUAUCCCUACCCACACCCAGACCUCAACUACCCUGGCCGGUACGCCCAUCCUGACCUGGGACAUGUCCUCUUCAGCCCCCGUGGUCCUGUUGGACACUUCCCAGAGUCCCAGUCAGCCCUACUGCAGAGGACUGAGCACCAACGGCGAGGUGUGUAUGGGGCUAAUGAUGUGGACUACCCCCCACUCAGCCCCCCUUCCCGCUACCCCCCCGGGCUGGGCCCCCCACCUCCCUACGAGGUCGCCAUAAAGACCACCUGUAGCUCCACCCACCUGCGCCGCGCCUACUCAGACACACACCUGUCCUCGGAACCCCUGUUUGGCCGAUCACGGGAGAUCAGCUUUGAGGUGUGA